rnacentral:tRNA from 1 species
GCCGGGAUGGCAGAGUGGUAAUGCGCACGCCUGGAAAGCGUGUGGCCGAAAGGCCUCCUGAGUUCGAAGAAAUCCCUUUUCUUUAAGAAAGAAAAGGUCUUUCGACCCCAAAAGAAAAACGGGGGAUGAAAGGCAUUCGGCUUACGAGAGAAAAAGGGUUUAGGGAAAUCUCAGUCCCGGCG